UUCAGGGGUAAACCUGAGAAGCCCGAAAGGUCGAAUGGGGAAAUUCAUUCCCGUUUCGGCAGUCGGCGUUGGAUGGUCGAGUGACGGACGGCGUACGCGUCGUCCGCGCCUUCCGUCCUUCGAACCGGCGUCGAACGCGUGCACUUUUCCCCUAGUAGGACGUCGCGAUCCGUUGGGUGUCGGUCUACGGCUCGCGGUGGAGCCCGUGCGGUCGCUUCGCGGCGUAUCGCACGGACCCGCGGUGUCCCGGCCGACUCGCUCGACGGUAUAUAGAUGGCGCGGGGCCGCUACACAGUUAGCGUUCGGCCUGCGGCAAGCGCGUUCGUAGUUAGACGGCGAUCGGACCUGGUGCCGGUCCUGUCCGCGAACGACUGUUGGCCGCGGUGUUCUCGAACAGACCCCGAAUCGAAACGCCGAUCUGCGACGCUAUAGCUUUGGGUACUUUCAGGACCCACGGACCAAGGAGUCUAGCAUGUGCGCGAGUCAUUGGGACAUAACUAAACCUAAAGGCGUAAUGAAAGUGAAGAUCCGCCUCGCGCGGAUCGAGGGAGGAUGAGCGGCGUAUAGCCCUUAAAAGCGGCCGCUCCGCACUCCCGGGGCGUCUCGUUCUCAUCGCGAGAAGAGGCGCACCAAGAGC
rnacentral:rRNA from 1 species